AGAGAUGUGUGAUGACGCAUAUCAAUAAGCGGAGGAAAAGAAACCAACAAGGAUUCCCCUAGUAACGGCGAGUGAAGCGGGAAGAGCUCAAAUUUGAAAUCUUCAAGGUUUUCCCUUGACGAAUUGUAGUUUAAAGAAGUGUUUUCUGUUGGAGUUUUGGCUAAAAGUUCUUUGGAAUAGGACAUCAUAGAGGGUGAGAAUCCCGUAUUUGACCAGUUACUUUCCAGCUGUGUGAUACACUUUCAAAGAGUCGGAUUGUUUGGGAAUGCAGUCCAAAAUGGGUGGUAAAUUUCAUCUAAAGCUAAAUACUGGCGAGAGACCGAUAGCGAACAAGUACCGUGAGGGAAAGAUGAAAAGAACUUUGAAAAGAGAGUUAAACAGUACGUGAAAUUGUCAAAAGGGAAGCGUUUGACACCAGUGUUGUUUUUCCGAAAAUCAAUUACGAAUGUUUUGUUUUUGAGAAGUUAUGACUUCAUCGGCUUGCUUCUUCUUUACGAAACUUUCUUAAUGCACUUUUCGGUUAACAAGUCAACAUCAAUUUCUUUUGUUGUAAAAGGGUAUGAGGAAGGUGGCUUUCUUUUCGGAGAAAGUGUUUAUAGCCUUGUACCUCUGCAAUCGGAGAGAUUGAGGUCCUGCAGCGUAGAUCCUUCGGGGUUAGAUACAUUUGUGCUAAGUUAUAGCUUUUCAUAGACAACUUGUUGACUAUGUUAAGUCUUGUAGCUUACUCGCUCAUGCUAUUUUACCUACGCUUAGGAUGUUGAAGUCAUCGUAUCGCGC
rnacentral:rRNA from 1 species